ACAUCCUGUAAUUUUUCCAAUGUACUUUUUGUAAAUUUUUUCAAAUUAACCAAGAAAAUAAAAAACUCGAAUUUUCGGAAGUAUUAGCUCUUAGCGAACGGUGGAAGGAGUUCUAAGCAAACUGUCUAACUCCGAAGAGUUCAUUGCUAUGACCCAAAUUCAAAGAAACAUUGCACAAUUGCCUUUUAGUCAUUUAUCUGCAGUAAGGAACAAAAUCAAGCCAGGAUGCCGGAGCC